rnacentral:rRNA from 1 species
AUGCUCUUUGCGGAUGAUGUGGUGCUAGUUGACGAUAGUCGGACGGGGGUAAAUAGGAAGUUAGAGUUAUGGAGACAAACCUUGGAAUCGAAAGGGUUUAGGCUUAGUAGAAGUAAAACCGAGUACAUGAUGUGCGGUUUCAAUACUACUAGGUGUGAGGAGGAGGAGGUUAGCCUUGAUGGGCAGGUGGUACCUCAGAAGGACACCUUUCGAUAUUUGGGGUCAAUGCUGCAGGAGGAUGGGGGUAUUGAUGAAGAUGUGAACCAUCGAAUCAAAGCCGGAUGGAUGAAGUGGCGCCAAGCUUCGGGCAUUCUCUGUGACAAGAGAGUGCCACAAAAGCUAAAAGGCAAGUUCUACAGGACGGCGGUUCGACCUGCAAUAUUGUAUGGCGCUGAGUGUUGGCCGACUAAAAGGCGACAUGUUCAACAUCAGGUAUGGCGGAGAUGCGUAUAUUGA